rnacentral:lncRNA from 1 species
AAUAUCUCUUUCAUUUUUUAUCCAAAAAUUAUGGGACCAAUUGCAUUAUUUCCCAAAUAAAUUCUAGUUUCUGUUUUUGAUUUUUAUUAUUUUUUAUGUUGUAAUUUGAUAUUUUUUGUGAAUUUUCUCUUUUCUGGUUAUUUUUAAUUCAUUUUAAAUAGUUUUUGAUAUUCAAAAAAUACAAAAAUAUUUUCCUAACCUAUUUGAAUGAUGAUGGAUCUACGAAAAAUA